UUGAACGCUGGCGGCAUGCCUUACACAUGCAAGUCGAACGGUAACAGGUCUUCGGAUGCUGACGAGUGGCGAACGGGUGAGUAAUACAUCGGAACGCGCCCGAUCGUGGGGGAUAACGCAGCGAAAGCUGUGCUAAUACCGCAUACGAUCUACGGAUGAAAGCGGGGGACCGUAAGGCCUCGCGCGAUUGGAGCGGCCGAUGUCGGAUUAGCUAGUUGGUGGGGUAAAGGCCUACCAAGGCGACGAUCCGUAGCGGGUCUGAGAGGAUGAUCCGCCACACUGGGACUGAGACACGGCCCAGACUCCUACGGGAGGCAGCAGUGGGGAAUUUUGGACAAUGGGCGCAAGCCUGAUCCAGCAAUGCCGCGUGCAGGAUGAAGGCCUUCGGGUUGUAAACUGCUUUUGUACGGAACGAAACGGUUCUCUUUAAUAAAGAGGGCUAAUGACGGUACCGUAAGAAUAAGCACCGGCUAACUACGU
rnacentral:rRNA from 1 species